UACGUAGGGUGCAAGCGUUUGUCCGGAAUUAUUGGGCGUAAAGAGCUCGUAGGCGGUCUGUCACGUCGGCUGUGAAAACCUGGGGCUCAACUCCGGGCCUGCAGCCGAUACGGGCAGACUAGAGUUCGGCAGGGGAGACUGGAAUUCCUGGUGUAGCGGUGAAAUGCGCAGAUAUCAGGAGGAACACCGGUGGCGAAGGCGGGUCUCUGGGCCGAUACUGACGCUGAGGAGCGAAAGCGUGGGGAGCAAACAGG
rnacentral:rRNA from 1 species